AGAAACACACUUACUAGAAAGAGGAAAUUACUCUUGUCUCAGACGUGAAUGUUGGUAUAAUUCCUUACUGUGCAGAGCCUCACUGAGGGCCCGAGCACCGAGCACCUGAACCACGAAGCACUCUCAACUCGCAUUGAACUUAAUGAGAGUUAAGAGUACUCGGCACCCCACAGCGUCAGACUUCAAAUUUGUGUUUUGAAGACAUCAAGGCCAUGAGAUGGAAGUGGUAUCUUGAAGAGUAAGAAUGACAAGACAACAGAUGUGUCAUAAAGAGGAAUGUUAAGAUGUGUCACUUGUGUUUCAGAGCAAGAGCUCACACACCUAAUGCUGAUUAAUUCUGCUGGACUGGGUAACUGGCUCCCCUGUGCAUAUCCUGUUUUCCCGUGAAUCAUCGUUCCUCCUUGAGACAUCCUCCGACGCAGAUCAAAGAUCCAGAAUGUAUUAGAUAUGAAGAUAUCAGACAGCUCAAACAGAUUAGAAAAGACACACAAAGAAUUGUAUCCCUCUCGUCCUGCUGAAAAUUGGCAUGGUGAACACAACCCUAAGCGCUUGUUAUAAAAGAAACAGUAGAAAGACAAAAAAAAAAAAAGGAAGAAAAAAAGGAGGCACGCUGGAAAUUUAGUUUAUCCAGGGUCUUCUACAAAUUACUCUUUCCAAGUAUUUGCACUUUUGUACUUACUUCUCCCUGGCAGCUGGAAACUCUUCAGGCUAGAUCCUCUUCUGAUGGAAAAUGACAUCCGUGAGCUUCAGCAAGAGCUGCGCUAAUUGCAUCAGCAGAGGACUCGGUGCUAUCCAUUGAAGUAUUGAGCCUUGCCUACAAACACACAAAUUAAAUGAACAUG